AGUAAGUUUUGUGGUCAAGCUACUAAGGGCGUACGGUGGAUGCCUUGGCGCAAGAAGGCGAUGAAGGACGUAGCAAGCUGCGAUAAGCCUCGGGGAGCUGCAAUCGAGCAUUGAUCCGGGGAUUUCCGAAUGGGGAAACCCUCCUGAAUGAACUUCAGGAACUCCUCACUGAAUCUAUAGGUGAGGUAGAGCUAACCCAGGGAAGUGAACCAUCUCAGUACCUGGAGGAAGAGAAAGCAAACGCGAUUCCGAAAGUAGCGGCGAGCGAAAUCGGAACAGCCCAAACCCAGCGCUGCACAGGGUGUGUCAGAGCCGCGACAGUUAUGGAGCGGUCCUCGGUGAUGCAUCGUGUGCAGGGCUGGGGGUUGUAGGGUCCGCAACAGUAGAGUUACCAAUCCGUUGGUUAGCUGAAGCGGUCUGGAAAGACCGGCCAAAGAAUGUGAUAGCCAUGUAAGCGAAAACCAGACGGACUCGAAGCGGAUACCUGAGUACCGCGGGGCACGAGAAACCCUGCGGGAAUCCGGGAGGACCAUCUCCCAAGGCUAAAUACUCGCUUGCGACCGAUAGUGAACUAGUACCGUGAGGGAAAGGUGAAAAGAACCCCUGCGAGGGGAGUGAAAUAGUACCUGAAACCGUAUGCCUACAAGCAGUCGAAGGGCUAUGCCAUCGCAAGAUGGAAUGCCUGACGGCGUGCCUAUUGCAUAAUGAGCCGGCUAGUUAUUCUCGGUGGCAAGGUUAAGCGUAAAGCGAGCCGUAGCGAAAGCGAGUCUGAAUAGGGCGACAUAGUCAUCGGGAAUAGACGCGAAGCGGGAUGAGCUACCCUUGGCCAGGGCGAAGUUCGGGUAACACCGAAUGGAGGCCCGAACCGGUGUUGGUUGAAAACAGCUCGGAUGAGCUGAGGGUAGGGGUGAAAGGCUAAUCAAAUUCCGUGAUAGCUCGUUUUCUCCGAAAUAGCUUUAGGGCUAGCCUCCUGUGAUCUGCAGCGGUGGUAGAGAACUGAAUGGACUAGGGGCCUUCCAAGGUUACUGAAUCCAACCAAACUUCGAAUGCCGUUGACAGCAGCAGGGGAGUCAGACAGUGGGGGCUAAGCUUCAUUGUCGAGAGGGAAACAGCCCAGAUCACCAGCUAAGGUCCCAAAAUCUGCGCUAAGUGGGAAAGGACGUCAAGGCGCACAGACAGCCAGGAGGUUGGCUUAGAAGCAGCCAUCCUUUAAAGAAAGCGUAAUAGCUCACUGGUCAAGCGGCUCGGCACCGACAAUUCAACGGGGCUGAAGCGCAGUACCGAAGCUGUGGAAUUCAAAGGUCAAGGCCUUUGAUUUGGUAGGAGAACAUUCUGAACGGUUUGAAGCCUGACCGAGAGGACAGGUCGACAGUUCAGAAGAGACCCUGCCGGCAUAAGUAGCGAUAAACAAUGUGAGAACCAUUGUCGCCGAAAGUCUAAGGUUUCCUGAGAAAGGUUAAUCCGCUCAGGGUUAGUCGGUCCUAAGGCGAGGCCGAACGGCGUAGUCGAUGGACAUCCGGUUAAUAUUCCGGAACUGCGAUGGAAGCGUUAUUACGAAGGGGGGACGCGGUAGGUUAGGCGAGUCAGGUGAUGGACGUCCUGAUUUGCCGGCACAAGCGGGAUCUGGUAGGCAAAUCCGCCAGGUCGUUAACCGUGAAGCCGGUGACGAGGCCGCAAGGCCAUAAAGUCGCUGACAUCAAGCCGCCGGGAAAAACCUCUAAGGAGUUUCUGUCGCAUCCGUACCGCAAACCGACACAGGUAGACGAGGAGAGUAUCCAAAGGCGCUCGAGAGAACACUCGUUCAGGAACUAGGCAAAUUAGCUCCGUAACUUCGGAAGAAGGAGUGCUCCGGUAGGGUUCAUAGCCCGAGGGAGCCGCAGUGAAUUGCCUCAAUCGACUGUUUAACAAAAACACAGGUCUCUGCAAAGUCAAAAAAACGACGUAUAGGGGCUGACGCCUGCCCGGUGCCGGAAGGUUAAAGGGAGAGGUUAACCGCAAGGUGAAGCUUUGAACUGAAGCCCCGGUGAACGGCGGCCGUAACUAUAACGGUCCUAAGGUAGCGAAAUUCCUUGUCGGGUAAGUUCCGACCUGCACGAAUGGCGUAACGAAUUGAGGACUGUCUUAACGAGUGGCUCGGCGAACUUGUAGUACCGGUGAAGAUGCCGGUUGCCCGCAUCUAGACGGAAAGACCCCGUGCACCUUUACUACACUUUAGCACUGAAUUAUGGGGCGGUCUGCGCAGGAUAGGUGGGAGGCUUUGAACCUGGGCUUUUGGGCUCAGGGGAGCCAACGGUGAGAUACCACCCUGAUCGUUCCGUGAUUCUAACCUCCUUCUGUGAAUCCAGAAGAGGGACAUUGCUAGACGGGUAGUUUGACUGGGGCGGUCGCCUCCUAAACUGUAACGGAGGCGCUCGAAGCUACGCUCAGGCUGUUUGGAAAUCAGCCGUCGAGUGUAAACGCAUAAGCGUGGCUAACUGCGAGACCAACAAGUCGAGCAGGUGGGAAACCAGGAGUUAGUGAUCCGGUGGUUCUGCAUGGAAGGGCCAUCGCUCAACGGAUAAAAGGUACGCCGGGGAUAACAGGCUGAUCGGAGCCAAGAGUUCAUAUCGACGCUCCGGUUUGGCACCUCGAUGUCGGCUCAUCGCAUCCUGGAGCUGAAGAAGGUUCCAAGGGUUAGGCUGUUCGCCUAUUAAAGCGGUACGUGAGCUGGGUUCAGAACGUCGCGAGACAGUUCGGUCCCUAUCUGAUGUGGGCGCAGGAGAUUUGAGGGGAGCUGUCCUUAGUACGAGAGGACCGGGAUGGACGAACCUAUUGUGUUCCAGCUGUCACGCCAGUGGCACGGCUGGGUAGCGAAGUUCGGAAGGGAUAAACGCUGAAAGCAUAUAAGCGUGAAGCCCGCCCCAAGAUUAGAUCUCCCAAUCCCUUAAGGGGUAUGAAGGGCACAGGAAGACGACCUGUUUGAUAGGCUGGAGGUGUAAGCCCAGUGAUGGGUUCAGCUGACCAGUACUAAUCGCCCGUUCGGCUUGACCA
rnacentral:rRNA from 1 species